GUUGGUGUGUCUCAGUGAUAGAGUGCAUGCUUUGUGCAUAAUGUCCUGGGUUCAAUCCCGAGCUUCUCCC